rnacentral:rRNA from 1 species
AACGUAGGUGGCAAGCGUUAUCCGGAAUUACUGGGCGUAAAGGGUGUGCAGGCGGGGUUGCAAGUGGUGUAUGAAAUAUCCCAGCUUAACUGGGAGGGGUUAUGCCAGACUGCAACUCUGGAGGACGAGAGAGGGGGGUGGAAUUCCGGGUGUAGUGGUGAAAUGCGUAGAGAUCCGGAAGGAACCCCAGAGGCGAAGGCGGCCCCCUGGGUCA